UUGGGCGACUACGCAGACGCACCCCGAAAACGGCCCAGCCAGGCUCCGCGCUCGCCUUCCUGCCGCUUGCUCAGCAAACGGUGCCCUAGGCUGAUUUGUGGGUCUCGGUUUUAACUGGGACGGAAAACAGGCGGCGGGGGCGGAGCGCGAGCGGCGGAGGCCCGGCAGGGAGGCCAAGAACGUCCCUCCCGCCCCGGAGAGCGGACGCGGCCCCGAAGUGGGUCCCCUCAGGAUCAGGUCCGGGCGCGUCCGGGCCCCGCGGCGGCGCGGGGUUCCGGGCGCAGGCACCCACCGAGCCCACGGGCGCGCGCCAGGCUCCCUCCCUCUAAACGCCCGGACCCGACCUCGCGGGCACGCGCGCCGCCUCCCCACGCCCGGCUUCAGCGGCGCCAGCUCCCGACUCGGCGAGCGCGGCGGCCGGCGGGACGCAAAUCCCGGGCCGGAGACCGGCGCGGAUCGGGGCUGCAGCUGCGAAGUUCCCCGGCCCGCGCUGCGGAAGGGCAAAGCACUCCUGGAAGCCCACGCCGGCUUCGCGGAGCGCGCGACUGGUUCGCAAAUGGCCUUCUUCGGGACCUCCUACCGGGCCUGGGCGGUGAUCGGUGAUGCGAGCCAGGCCUGGACAACAUUCCAAAGCGGGCCUUAGGGAUAAAUACGUCCAAGUAGGGCACAGCUCCGUCCUGCACUCCCAGAAGCCUAAAAUGUAUGACCGAGCCAAACCACUUCUGGAAAAGUCAUAUUUCCCAGCUUUCCGUGAACUAGUUUUUACUUUUUUUCUAUAUCUGGAGGAGAAUGUGCAUCGUUUCAGGGAAGAAAAAAGAAAAAAGCUGUGCAGAGUAGCCAGGAUUCUGGGAAUGUGGCCGGUUGGAUGGGGCCGGUGCCUGUUGCUUGUCCAUGUCGCACACCUGAGACGUUUAUUUAUUAGGGUGCAAGAAAACCUAAGAAAGGGAAGCCACAUAUGACUAUGAUGACAGCCUACAAAGGGACAUGUGCCAGGCAUGGUGCUGGGAGACGGAAAUGGCCUUCUGUCAACAUAUCCUGAUGUGAUUGGUCUCUGGAAACAAGAACAUAGAGAGAGACAUGGAAAAGACUCAGUUUUGUGAUAAAGAUUUUCAUCAGAUACCAGGAACACUAGACUUGGGCCCAUCUUGCACAACACUUCACUGAUUCCAGGAGGAUCCCAUGAAUACUUGGAGGACUACCAAACUCUAAGGUCUCCACCGUUCCAUGCAGAAAUGUGGCACUGGUGCUCUCUCUUGAACCCUUUGUAACUAUUAAGGCUGAAGUGCCAUUUAAAGAAAAAGGAAGGCAAAGAAAUGAGCUGUAGGAAGCCGUGAUACUGAGUUUUUUACAAAUUGAAGAUUGGCAGAAACCCUAUGUGGAGCAAGUCUAUGUGGAAAAGCGCCAUUCUUCCAACAGCAGGUGCUCUCUUUGUGUCUCUGUGUCACAUUUUGGUAAUUCUC